CCUACGGGAGGCUGCAGUGGGGAAUAUUGGACAAUGGGGGGAACCCUGAUCCAGCCAUGCCGCGUGUGUGAAGAAGGCCCUCGGGUUGUAAAGCACUUUCAGUGAGGAAGAACGCCUGGUGGUUAAUACCCAUCAGGAAAGACAUCACUCACAGAAGAAGCACCGGCUAACUCCGUGCCAGCAGCCGCGGUAAUACGGAGGGUGCGAGCGUUAAUCGGAAUUACUGGGCGUAAAGCGCGCGUAGGUGGCUUGAUAAGCCGGUUGUGAAAGCCCCGGGCUCAACCUGGGAACGGCAUCCGGAACUGUCAAGCUAGAGUGCAGGAGAGGAAGGUGGAAUUCCCGGUGUAGCGGUGAAAUGCGUAGAGAUCGGGAGGAAUACCAGUGGCGAAGGCGGCCUUCUGGACUGACACUGACACUGAGGUGCGAAAGCGUGGGUAGCAAACAGGAUUAGAUACCCCAGUAGUC
rnacentral:rRNA from 1 species